UUUUAAACUUAGGAAUAGAUACCCUAUUAUUUUUAUUAAAUUUAAAUUUAAUUUAAAUAUUAAAUGUUAAGCAUUAAAAAUAAAAGAUUUGGCGGUAUUUAAUAUUUAGAGGAACUUGUUUAUUAAAUUGAUAAUCCACGAAUGGAAGAACUUAAAAUAAGUGAUUUUUAUGUAUUGUUGUUGAAAAAUUAUAUUAAUAGAUAAUUAUUGAUAAAUUUAAUAAAAUUAUAAUUCAAAUCAAAAUGUAGAAUAAUUAAGAGUUUAAUGAGUUACGAAUUAUUUAAAAUAUUUGGAUUUUAAAAUAUAAUUUAAUUUAUGAAUGGGAAUGGAUUAGAAGUGAAUUUAURGGGAAUUAGAAG
rnacentral:rRNA from 1 species